rnacentral:rRNA from 1 species
UUGGAGGGCAAGUCUGGUGCCAGCAGCCGCGGUAAUUCCAGCUCCAAUAGCGUAUAUUAAAGUUGUUGCAGUUAAAAAGCUCGUAGUUGAAUUUCGGGGUCAGUAGAUUGGUCAUGCCACUGGUAUGUACUGGUCUCACUGAUUCCUCCUUCCUGAUGAGCCGUAAUGCCAUUAAUUUGGUGUUGCGAGGAAUCUGGACUGUUACUUUGAAAAAAUUAGAGUGUUUAAAGCAGGCUAACGCUUGAAUACAUUAGCAUGGAAUAAUGAAAUAGGACGUUCGAUCUUAUUUUGUUGGUUUCUAAGAUUGACGUAAUGAUUAAUAGGGAUAGUUGGGGGCAUUAGUAUUCAAUUGUCAGAGGUGAAAUUCUUGGGUUUAUUGAAGACUAACUACUGCGAAAGCAUUUGCCAAGGAUGUUUUCAUUAAUCAAGAACGAAAGUUAGGGGAUCGAAGACGAUCAGAUACCGUCGUAGUCUUAACCAUAAACUAUGCCGACUAGGGAACGGAUGAUGUUAAUUUUUUAAUGACUCAUUCGGCGCCUUACGGGAAACCAAAGUGUUUGGGUUC